GUGAUCCUGCCAGUAGUCAUAUGCUUGUCUCAAAGAUUAAGCCAUGCAUGUCUAAGUACAAACUAUUAAAUAAAGUGAAACCGCGAAAGGCUCAUUAAAUCAGUUAUGGUUCCUUAGAUCGUACCACAAUUACUUGGAUAACUGUGGUAAUUCUAGAGCUAAUACAUGCAAACAGAGCUCUGACCGGAGACGGAAGGAGUGCUUUUAUUAGAUCAAAACCAAUCGGCGGCGAUAGCAUUUAUUUGUUAUCGUUCGUCGCUCAAUAAAUGGUGAAUCUGAAUAACUUUAUGCUGAUCGCAUGGUCUUGUACCGGCGACGCAUCUUUCAAAUGUCUGCCUUAUCAACUGUCGAUGGUAGGAUCUGCGCCUACCAUGGUUGUAACGGGUAACGGGGAAUCAGGGUUCGAUUCCGGAGAGGGAGCCUGAGAAACGGCUACCACAUCCAAGGAAGGCAGCAGGCGCGCAAAUUACCCACUCCCGGCACGGGGAGGUAGUGACGAAAAAUAACGAUACGGGACUCAUCCGAGGCCCCGUAAUCGGAAUGAGUACACUUUAAAUCCUUUAACGAGGACCAAUUGGAGGGCAAGUCUGGUGCCAGCAGCCGCGGUAAUUCCAGCUCCAAUAGCGUAUAUUAAAGUUGUUGCGGUUAAAAAGCUCGUAGUUGAAUUUGUGUCCCGCACUGUCGGUUCACCGCCCGCGGUGCUAACUGGCAUGUUUGCGGGACGUCCUGCCGGUGGAUGUUCAGUAGUCAAUUGGCUUUCGGGUCUUUUGUACUAUUUCAUCCGACUUAUUAAUCCUAUCGCGGUGCUCUUAACUGAGUGUCGAGGUGGGCCGGCACGUUUACUUUGAACAAAUUAGAGUGCUCAAAGCAGGCUAAUUAAUGCCUGAAUAAUUAGUGCAUGGAAUAAUGGAACAGGACCUUGGUUCUAUUUUGUUGGUUUUCGGAACCCCAAGGUAAUGAUUAAUAGGGACAGAUGGGGGCAUUCGUAUUGCGACGUUAGAGGUGAAAUUCUUGGAUCGUCGCAAGACGGACUAAAGCGAAAGCAUUUGCCAAAGAUGUUUUCAUUAAUCAAGAACGAAAGUCAGAGGUUCGAAGGCGAUCAGAUACCGCCCUAGUUCUGACCAUAAACGAUGCCAGCUAGCGAUCCGCCAAAGUUCCUCCGAUGACUUGGCGGGCAGCUUCCGGGAAACCAAAGCUUUUGGGUUCCGGGGGAAGUAUGGUUGCAAAGCUGAAACUUAAAGGAAUUGACGGAAGGGCACCACCAGGAGUGGAGCCUGCGGCUUAAUUUGACUCAACACGGGAAACCUCACCAGGCCCAGACACUGGAAGGAUUGACAGAUUGAGAGCUCUUUCUUGAUUCAGUGGGUGGUGGUGCAUGGCCGUUCUUAGUUGGUGGAGCGAUUUGUCUGGUUAAUUCCGAUAACGAACGAGACUCUAGCCUACUAAAUAGACGU
rnacentral:rRNA from 1 species